GGGAUUAUUGUGUCGAGUGGAGGAGGUAAUGUAGUAGAUAUGGUAUUAUGUGGGGAUUAAAACAGUUGUGAUCGGUUAAUGGUGGCGAGUGUUUAUGUUGCGUAUAUGUGAGAAGGUGAUGUAGGCAUUAGUGAAAUCUGAUAAAUGAAGAGUGUAAUUAAUGUUGAAUGGAAGGAUAUUGUGACAUGAAUAUGUAGUGUAGGUUAAAAUGUUUGUGAUAUGUAGGUGUGAAAAAAUAGCCUAUAAGUAAAGAAUUUUUUUUUAUUAAUUGUUGAGAGAAAAUGUAGUUAGCAGUAACUGAGGUGCGUAUAGUGAGGGUGGAGGUAUGCAUCUAAUGGGGUAUCUAGUUGCGGUAUGAUUGGCAGGUGAAAUUAAAAAAUAAUAGAGGUAGAAUGAGUGUUGCGAAAAUGCUGAUAACAAAAUAAAAGCGCUGUUAUACGAUGAAAGGAAACAAUGGUGAAAAUGGCUAGCACUGUGUGUAGAAUCGGUAAAGUGAGGGCACAGCCCUAGCCACCAACCUCAUAACACACCGCACCCCCACACCCCCACCACACCACACUGCACCCCCUGCCACUACACCUCACCGCCCAGCUCUCCUCCCCACACCUACCACAGAACGUGCCCUACUACCCACACCAAUGUCUACAUACUACAUACAACCCACAUACAACUCAACGACACCAAUUAUUAUUCUGCCGUCUCCCAUGACCACAUACUCUCACAAGACAUUUCCCUGUACAUCCAUCAAUUGUUUCAAGACAACAUUAUCGAUGAGCACACUCAUGUUUUCUUACUCCCCCACACACCCCUGUUCUACAUGUUACCCAAAAUUCACAAACCCCACACCCCAGGCCGCCCAAUAAUCCCAGGUUGCCAAUCGUCCACCGAAAAACUCUCCAUCUUUCUUGACCACUACCUCAAGAAAUUUGUACCCCACAUCCCGUCUACAUCAAGGAUACCACACACUUCCUACAAACAGUCCUCUCCCUCCCCACACCACUACCAGACACAUGUUUUCUUGUCACAAUUGAUGUCACCUCACUCUGCACCAACAUCCCACAUGAGGUGUUUGGGGUUGCAAACUUCACAUGAGAAAUGCAAUUUUUUUUAUCGUAUAACAGUUAUUUUAGGAGUAUCGCCCUGUCUCUGCUUUGUGGUUAUUAAAAUGAGUAGAAAACGAAUAACUCAUUUUCUUAUGCUCUAAUUGUUUUGUGUGGAAAUGGCAACAUCCGCCAGCGAAAA